rnacentral:tRNA from 2 species
GCCCCUGUAGCUCAGCUGGAUUAGAGCGCCGUCUUGCGAUGGCGGAGGUCAGACGUUCGAACCGUCUCAGGGGCGCCA